rnacentral:rRNA from 1 species
UACAGAGGUCUCAACCGUUGUUCGGAUUCAUUGGGCGUAAAGGGUGCGUAGGUGGUCGCGCAAGUCGGAUGUGAAAUCUCAGGGCUCAACCCUGAAACUGCAUUCGAUACUGCGCGGCUAGGGUGCUGGAGAGGAGACUGGAAUUUACGGUGUAGCAGUGAAAUGCGUAGAUAUCGUAAGGAAGACCAGUGGCGAAGGCGAGUCUCUAGACAGUUACCGACACUGAGGCACGAAGGCUAGGGGAGCAAACGGG